GGUGGCUGGGGGUGGACAGGGGAGGGGUGUCACCUGCACAGGGUGGGGCCCGGGGUCUCCUGAGUCCCUGAAGGCAGCUCAGACGUGGUGGUCGUCUCCUGGGCCGGCGAACUCUGGCAUGAUGCUUACCAGACUGGAAGGAGAACACGGAGGGCUCUUCUGGGGGGAGCUGUCCAGGUCGGCCCCGAGGUUAAGCUUCUCCACGGGGAUGUCGCUGCAGCACAGAAAAGGAGGGUGGACCUGGGACCAGCACCCGAGGGGCAGCAGGGGCAGCGGGGACCCCAGGGCCUGUCCUUACCCUGAGGACCGGGCCUCGGGGGCGGGAGAAGAGCCGGGGCUGAAGGUGCCCGUGGCCGCGGCGCUGGGAAUGAACCUCCGGAGCAGCCGCACCCAGGUGGCCACGUCGAUGUUCAUCUGCCUGGCGCGCUGGAACGCCUUCCCUGGGGGGACGGGGCGGGGUCACCCUGAGCCGCUCCGGACCCGGCCGCUCCCGGCCCAGACCCCCCACUCACCCUGCUGCUUGGAGAAGAUCUUCUUCUGCCGCCGAAGCCGGGGUAUCCUCUCAAUGACGGGGUUGCGGAAGGUGACCUGGGGAGAGGGGUCAGCGGGUGAGGACCCCUGCCCACUUCCGGGCAGCACAGCAGGGAAGCCCUUGGGAGCAGAGGUGUGCACGUGCGUGUUUUGGGAAUUCCGAUCACUGUGGCACUGCAUCAUAUUGAGGGGUUACAAAACCAAUCCACCGCUCAGCAGAGCCACCUCCUCAGCCUCAGAUGGGGCGCAUGCGGGAGGCAAGGAGAGAGCAAGGAAGGAGAGAGAGAGAGAGAGAGAGAGAGAGAGAGAGAGAGAGAGAGCGCGAGAGAGAGAGCGAGAGAGAGCGAGAGAGAGAGAGAGAGAGAGCGCGCGCGAGAGAGCGAGCGCCAUUUUGGAGACACGAGAGCAGGCACCCACGCCUUCCUCACGGGGUAGGGAAUGAGUCUGACCCAACACGAUGCACAUUCACCUCCAGCGAACAGGUCCUACAUCACUUAGUGCCCCGAUUCCCGAGAUUGGUCCCAGACCUGCAAUCGGCAUUGCCGGGGAAGGUGCUAGAAACGCAGACCCAAGGGCCCCCUGCGGGACUCACUGAUUCGGAAACACCAGGGGUGGGGCCCAGCGGGCUGUUUCAAUAAGCCCUCCGGGUGAUACGGGUGCCCACCCCGGAGGGGCCACCACGGGGCUCGAUGAAUUCUCCAAACUCCAACACAUCUUCCAGCAAGUGCUCCAUCACAGAACGGCGUCACUAUGUGCGUCCAAUAAGGUGCCACCAGCUACGGGUGGCCAUGUAUGUGGAGCAAAAUCUAAGUGACAUCAACGUCUCCGCUCCCCGGUCACACUGGCCACACUUCAAGCAGCCACGAGGCGGGCGGCUACUCUGCUGGGUGACCGGGACGGAAAACAUUUCCUCCCACAGAAUGCAACUAUUGCUGGCCCAUCCACAACAGAACGAUAGAGAGCUCCGCCGGAUGGCGUUCUGGGGAAGCA